rnacentral:rRNA from 1 species
GGACUACUGGGGUAUCUAAUCCUGUUUGCUCCCCACGCUGUCGCGCCUCAGCGUCAGUUCGACCCCAGCAGACCGCCUUCGCCACCGGUGUUCUUCCGGAUCUCUACGCAUUCCACCGCUACACCCGGAAUUCCAUCUGCCUCUAGUCGACUCAAGCUUAGGAGUAUCCAUGGCCGACUCGCAGUUGAGCCACGAGCUUUCACCACGGACUUCCCAAGCCGCCUACGCGCCCUUUACGCCCAGUGAUUCCGGACAACGCUCGCACCCUCUGUAUUACCGCGGCUGCUGGCAC